rnacentral:rRNA from 1 species
AGAGUUUGAUCCUGGCUCAGGAUGAACGCUGGCGGCGUGGAUAAGGCAUGCAAGUCGUGCGGCCAGUCCUCUAAAAAGGGCUGGUAGCGGCGAACGGGUUAGUAACACGUACUUACGUACCGCUAACACGAGCAUAACUAAUCGAAAGAUUAGCUAAUUCUCGAUAGUCUGGUAGCAAUACCAGUAAAGGUAAACGCAAGUUUAUUGGUUAGCGAGCGGAGUGCGGCCUAUCAGCUUGUUGGUGGGGUAAUGGCCUACCAAGGCGAUGACGGGUAGGGGAUAUGAGAGUGUGUUCCCCAACAAGGGCACUGCGACACGGGCCCUACUCCUACGGGAGGCAGCAGUCGAGAAUAUUGGUCAAUGGCCGAAAGGCUGAACCAGCGACGCCGCGUGCUCGAAGAAACCCUUCGGGGCGUAAAGAGCUUUUCUCUGUGAAUAACCCCGCAAGCGCGGGAUGAAGGUAACAGAGGAAUAAGAAGAUACUAAUCACGUGCCAGCAGUAGCGGUAAUACGUGAUCUUCAAGCGUUAUCCGGAUUUAUUGGGCGUAAAGCGUUCGUAGGCGGUCCGCAAAGUUUUUCGUUAAAUAUCCAGGGCUCAACCUUGGAAAUGCGGAAAAAACUAGCGGCCUAGAGGGCGUUAGAGGCUGGUGGAACGGUCGGUGGAGGGGUGAAAUCCGUUGAUAUCGACCGGAACACCGAAAGCGAAGGCAGCCAGCUGGAGCGACCCUGACGCUGAGGAACGAAAGCGUGGGCAUCGAUAAGGAUUAGAUACCCUGGUAGUCC